UACGUAGGGUGCGAGCGUUAAUCGGAAUUACUGGGCGUAAAGCGUGCGCAGGCGGUUUUUUAAGACAGGCGUGAAAUCCCCGGGCUUAACCUGGGAACGGCGCUUGUGACUGGAAGGCUAGAGUACGGCAGAGGGGGGUGGAAUUCCACGUGUAGCAGUGAAAUGCGUAGAGAUGUGGAGGAACACCAAUGGCGAAGGCAGCCCCCUGGGUCGAUACUGACGCUCAUGCACGAAAGCGUGGGGAGCAAACAGG
rnacentral:rRNA from 1 species